rnacentral:rRNA from 1 species
AAUUUAAGUAGGGAAGCAACCCACGUCACACUGCCGAGAAAAGCUUCUAGUGAGUCAUCAACUACCCGUACCGCAAACCGACACAGGUAGUCGAGGAGAGAAUCCUCAGGUGAGCGAGUGAACUCUCGUUAAGGAACUCGGCAAAAUGACCCCGUAACUUCGGGAGAAGGGGUGCUGGCCACAUGGCCAGCCGCAGUGAAAAGGCCCAGGCGACUGUUUAUCAAAAACACAGGUUUCUGCAAAAUCGUAAGAUGACGUAUAGGGGCUGACGCCUGCCCGGUGCUGGAAGGUUAAGUGGAUGAGUUAGCUUCGGCGAAGCCCAGAAAUGAAGCCCCAGUAAACGGCGGCCGUAACUAUAACGGUCCUAAGGUAGCGAAAUUCCUUGUCGGGUAAGUUCCGACCCGCACGAAAGGCGUAACGAUCUGGGCACUGUCUCAACGAGAGACUCGGUGAAAUUGAGAUACCUGUGAAGAAGCAGGUUACCCGCGACAGGACGGAAAGACCCCAUGGAGCUUUACUGUAGCUUGAUAUUGGGUGUUGACACAGCUUGUACAGGAUAGGUAGGAGCCGUUGAAGCCGGAACGCUAGUUUCGGUGGAGGCAUUGGUGGGAUACUACCCUCGCUGUGUGAACACUCUAACCCGCGCCACUUAGCGUGGCGGGAGACAGUGUCAGGUAGGCAGUUUGACUGGGGCGGUCGCCUCCCAAACAGUAACGGAGGCGCCCAAAGGUUCCCUCAGAAUGGUUGGAAAUCAUUCGACGAGUGUAAAGGCAGAAGGGAGCUUGACUGCGAGACAGACAGGUCGAGCAGGGACGAAAGUCGGGCUUAGUGAUCCGGUGGUUCCGUAUGGAAGGGCCAUCGCUCAACGGAUAAAAGCUACCCUGGGGAUAACAGGCUUAUCUCCCCCAAGAGUCCACAUCGACGGGGAGGUUUGGCACCUCGAUGUCGGCUCAUCGCAUCCUGGGGCUGUAGUCGGUCCCAAGGGUUGGGCUGUUCGCCCAUUAAAGCGGUACGCGAGCUGGGUUCAGAACGUCGUGAGACAGUUCGGUCCCUAUCCGUCGCGGGCGUAGGAAAUUUGAGAGGAGCUGUCCUUAGUACGAGAGGACCGGGAUGGACAUACCGCUGGUGUACCAGUUGCGCCGCCAGGCGCACAGCUGGGUAGCUAUGUAUGGAUGAGAUAAACGCUGAAAGCAUCUAAGUGUGAAACUCGCCUCAAGAUGAGAUUUCCCAUUCCUAUAUGGAAGUAAGACCCCUGAGAGAUGAUCAGGUAGAUAGGUUGGAAGUGGAAGUGCAGCGAUGCACGGAGCGGACCAAUACUAAUCGGUCGAGGACUUAACCAA